CCUACGGGAGGCAGCAGUGGGGAAUAUUGGGCAAUGGGCGCAAGCCUGACCCAGCAACGCCGCGUGAAGGAAGAAGGCUUUCGGGUUGUAAACUUCUUUUCUGAGGGACGAAGAAAAUGACAGUACCUGACCAAGAAGCCCCGGCUAACUACGUGCCAGCAGCCGCGGUAAUACGUAGGGGGCAAGCGUUAUCCGGAUUUACUGGGUGUAAAGGGAGCGUAGACGGUUAUGUAAGUCUGGAGUGAAAGCCCGGGGCCCAACCCCGGGACUGCUUUGGAAACUGUGUAACUGGAGUACAGGAGGGGCAGGCGGAAUUUCUGGUGUAGCGGUGAAAUGCGUAGAUAUCAGGAGGAACACCGAUUGCGAAGGCAGCUUACCAAGCUACUUCUGACGUUGAGGCACGAAAGCGUGGGGAGCAAACAGGAUUAGAUACCCGGGUAGUC
rnacentral:rRNA from 1 species